GGCGACUCACGAGCUUGGACAUGCCUUAGGUUCUCCACAUGAUGGCGAAGGGUCUUCCAAGGGUUGCGAACCCAAUGACGGAUUUAUAAUGCAUCGAAACUCAGCCAUGCAAACGAAGUCCGCGUUCUCUGACUGCAGCGCGUCAGCCAUCAUGAAUUUCCUGUCCUCAAGAAAUGCAAGAUGCUUGUUUCAGCUC